rnacentral:rRNA from 1 species
GCCCCAGUAACGGCGAGUGAAGCGGCAACAGCUCAAAUUUGAAAUCUGGCCCUCGGGUCCGAGUUGUAAUUUGUAGAGGAUGCUUUUGGCGCGGUGCCUUCCGAGUUCCCUGGAACGGGACGCCUUAGAGGGUGAGAGCCCCGUACGGUUGGACACCAAGCCUCUGUAAAGCUCCUUCGACGAGUCGAGUAGUUUGGGAAUGCUGCUCUAAAUGGGAGGUAAAUUUCUUCUAAAGCUAAAUACUGGCCAGAGACCGAUAGCGCACAAGUAGAGUGAUCGAAAGAUGAAAAGCACUUUGAAAAGAGGGUUAAACAGCACGUGAAAUUGUUGAAAGGGAAGCGUUUGCGACCAGACCUCGCCCCGGCGGAUCAUCCGGCGUUCUCGCCGGUGCACUCCGCCGGGCUGAGGCCAGCAUCGGUUUCCGCGGGGGGACAAAAGCGGGGGGAACGUAGCUCCCUCGGGAGUGUUAUAGCCCCCCGCAUAAUACCCUCGCGGGGACCGAGGACCGCGCUUCGGCAAGGAUGCUGGCGUAAUGGUCGUCAACGACCCGUCUUGAAACACGGACCAAGGAGUCGAACAUUUGUGCGAGUGUUUGGGUGUCAAACCCUCACGCGUAAUGAAGGUGAACGUAGGUGAGAGCCCUCGCGGGCGCAUCAUCGACCGAUCCUGAUGUCUUCGGAUGGAUUUGAGUAAGAGCAUAACUGUUCGGACCCGAAAGAUGGUGAACUAUGCGUGGAUAGGGUGAAGCCAGAGGAAACUCUGGUGGAGGCUCGCAGCGGUUCUGACGUGCAAAUCGAUCGUCAAAUCUGCGCAUGGGGGCGAAAGACUUAUCGA